rnacentral:rRNA from 1 species
UACGUAGGGUGCAAGCGUUGUCCGGAAUUAUUGGGCGUAAAGAGCUCGUAGGCGGUCUGUUGCGUCAGGAGUGAAAACUCGGGGCUUAACCCCCGAGCCUGCUUCUGAUACGGGCAGACUAGAGGUAUGCAGGGGAGAACGGAAUUCCUGGUGUAGCGGUGAAAUGCGCAGAUAUCAGGAGGAACACCGGUGGCGAAGGCGGGACUCUGGGCCGAUACUGACGCUGAGGAGCGAAAGCGUGGGGAGCAAACAGG